rnacentral:rRNA from 1 species
CCUACGGGAGGCAGCAGUGGGGAAUAUUGGGCAAUGGGCGCAAGCCUGACCCAGCAACGCCGCGUGAAGGAAGAAGGCUUUCGGGUUGUAAACUUCUUUUGACAGGGAAGAGCAGAAGACGGUACCUGUCGAAUAAGCUACGGCUAACUACGUGCCAGCAGCCGCGGUAAUACGUAGGUGGCAAGCGUUGUCCGGAUUUACUGGGUGUAAAGGGUGUGUAGGUGGUUUGACAAGUUGGUAGCGUAACUUCGAGGCUCAACCUCGGCACUACUACCAAAACUGUCAGACUUGAGUGCAGGAGGGGCAAUUGGAAUUCCUAGUGUAGCGGUGGAAUGCGCAGAUAUUAGGAAGAACACCGGUGGCGAAGGCGAAUUGCUAGACUGUAACUGACACUGAGGCACGAAAGCGUGGGGAGCAAACAGGAUUAGAUACCCGUGUAGUC